CAGUAGCCGCGGUAAUACGGAGGGAGCUAGCGUUGUUCGGAAUUACUGGGCGUAAAGCGCGCGUAGGCGGUUACUCAAGUCAGAGGUGAAAGCCCGGGGCUCAACCCCGGAACUGCCUUUGAAACUAGGUGACUAGAAUCUUGGAGAGGUCAGUGGAAUUCCGAGUGUAGAGGUGAAAUUCGUAGAUAUUUGGAAGAACACCAGUGGCGAAGGCGACUGACUGGACAAGUAUUGACGCUGAGGUGCGAAAGCGUGGGGAGCAAACAGGAUUAGAUACCCCAGUAGUCCCUGUCUCUUAUAC
rnacentral:rRNA from 1 species